CUCGCCUCCUUUAUUUCACAGGCUGCAAAUCAAGAACAGCUGCUUUUGCUGAUGUCCUGCCUCAGAUGCAAUGGGGAUGGAUUUCUGGGUCUCCUGAGAAUGGAUGAUCUACUACGUCCAGGAGACUUCAGAAGGAGAUCAAGAAAUAUCAAAACUCUGUGUGAAUGUAGCAAGAAAGUUAUGGAGAAACCGGAUUCCUAUCUCCAGGGAUCUGCUGGCCUACAAUGAGUUUGGAAAAUCUUUAGUCUUUUUGUCAAAGCGUUGCGCUGUGUCCAGAUGAAGUGGUUAAGUUCAUGAUGGGAGCCUGGCCAAGUGGAAAGUGACACAGGCUGAAGGGCCAAUGCAGUUGGAGAAGAGCAAACAAGAAAGGAAACACAUUCUUAAUUUUUCCUAUUGUAAUCAACAUUUACUCUUGGACUGUGUCCAUAUCAAAAUUCUGAUCUGAUCCGAAAGGAAUUCCAGAUCGCUGCGUUCCCACAACUUCUCUCCAGCCUCCAUCACUGAGGAUAAUGCCUGCAACUGCCUGCUUGCUGCACACAGGCUUCCUUCUGCCGGAUUCUGUUCAGACCCCAGCUGGGGGAAAGAGGAGAAAUGAGACGGGACGUUCCUCUCUUCUCCAUUAAAUCCAUAUCAAAUGGGAGGAGGUGG